GUAUACUUCUCAUUUCAGGAUGUUUUUAGAUUUUUUGAGGUGCUUAAAUAGCUAUUCAUAUUUUUAAGGUGUUUCAUCCAGAAGAAUUUUAAUGUGCCUGUAAAUGUUCCAUAGAGUCACAACCAUCAAAGAGUUGUUUUAUUUUUACAUAGUUCAUUAUAUGUACAUGUAUAUAUGUAUAUAUGUAUAUGGCCGUGUAUAUACAUAUAUAUGUAUACACACAUGCAUACAUAUGCACACACAGACCAUCACAUGCUCAGAGUCCAGGCAGCAUGACUAUAACAUUUUUUGAUAAGUGUCCUUUGGUAAAAAAAAAAAAAAAGUAUAUAUAUAUAUAUAUCCUCUCAGUCCUUUCUAAGAAACCCAAACUACCAAAAACCAUCCCCACAGCCACUUUCUGAAGUUGGUUCUGCUUUUUUUCCUGCAGUAUUGUUUAGCCAUCUUCUGCUCUUGGUAAGGUUGACAUAGUGUAUGUCAAUUAAAACAAAACAAAACAAAACAAAAGUCUGCUUUGUAAAUAGUAAUUUUACCCAGUGGUGCAUGUUUGAGCCAACGAAAAUGAUUUAAGCACAGUAUUUACUGCAUCAAAUAUGUACCACAGUUAAGUAUAGUUUGCAAGCUUUCAACAGGUGACAUGACGUCAUUGGUUCCCUUAGAGUUUGAAGCUGUCACUGCUGCAUGUCUCUCUUGCUGCUGCUGCUGUAUCUUAACCCUUCUGCUGUUCAGAAGUCUAAUAGGGAAGCCAUAUGUCAGAGGUGGAGUGAAGUGGAUUGUUCCAUCAGGAACUCAAUCUUCACGACACUGAGCAAUGUGUUGCAGUAAACAAGGAAGAAAUCCCUGCUCUUUGUUCUCCCUACCCUUAAUUGAACACUCCGGUGAGAUGUCUGACAGUGUAAACAAGUGGCAAGCUACUUAGAUCUGUUGAAGGUAUAUGGUUAGAGUUUUCUAAGAAAUAUACAUAUUGUAAAAAAAAAUGGGGGGAGUUCAGUUUAUUUUAUUUCGAAGCCUUUUGUACAUAAAAUGGGAAAUUAAAAGUAUCUUCAGGUUGAUGUCACAGUCCUAUCAUUAGUUUCUGUUCCCGGCACUUUUUAAUUAAGGCACUCCGCCAAGGAAGAGAGAGAUAAGGCCUAAGAGGCAGUACAGGGCUCUGCUGUCAUUGUUGGUACUGUGGACUUGCACAUAUUUCCACUUGAAACAAUUCUCAUUCCAAGUCUAAUGUCCAUUUGCUUUCAAUAGUGAUGCCUUAUCAUUGACAAGAGAUUUCAAGGGGAGCAGAUGAUAGAUACUCUAGGCAUUAUCUGAGUGGGAUGUACUCACCUAGCCUUCCCCUCCAUUCAUCCAUCUUCUUAAUGUUCGUUUAUACAGAUAGAUGGAUAGAUAGAAUCUUACUGACCCACAUGGCACUAGAGCUGUAUCAGAUAUGAUUUGGGAACCAAGUUUUCUUCUCUCUCUCUCUCUCUCUCUCUCUCUCUCUCUCUCUCUCUCUCUCUCUCUCUCUCUCUCUUUCUCUCACUGUUUUCCACCAAACCAGUUAGUGAAAUGAUCUUGCCAAUCACAAACGUUUUGUUUCACAAAAACAACCUUCAUUGUAGAUCCUUUAUACUAAAGCUGUUGAUUUGUAGUGUGUUGAAUGCAUGCGGGAAAAUGCUAUGACCAUACAGAGCUACCGGUAAGCCACAUUACAAUCAAGCCAAAAGAAUAAAGAUUUUUUUUUUUGCUUUUGUUUCUGUAUUUAUUGUUUUGUCUGUGUUUCUAUCCUCGAGAUGCCAGUUAGAGGUAAAUUUCUAUCGUGUAAAAAUGAUCUAUCUGAAAAUUUUAAAUGUAAAAAGUACGCAUUAAGUAUAAUAAUUCAUCUUUAAAUUUUUCAUGGAAUGGAAACUGAGAAGAAUGUAUUGGAUAUCUAGUUUUAAUAUUGGCCAAAAUCCACAGAUAUGGUACCAGGUAGAGUAGUGGAAAGUU
rnacentral:lncRNA from 1 species